CGACGGAGAACGCCUAUGGAGAAGGCGACGUAGAACGCCACUGGCUAGGGUUUCUGCAGGCAACUAAAGUGUUUGCUUGGAGUACUCGGUUGCUUGGAGGCGUGAUCAAGGAGAGAGAGAGACUCGGUUUCCUAAGGCGUGAUCGAGGAGAGAGAGAGAUAGAGAGAGAGUCCGUU